AUUGAACGCUGGCGGCAGGCCUAACACAUGCAAGUCGAGCGGAUGCAGCGAGCUUGCUCCUGGACUCAGCCGCGGCCGGGUGAGUCCUGCCUAUGAAUCUGCCUUAACGUGCGGGAUGACGUCCGGAAACGGGCGCUAAUACCCCAUCCGUCCUGUGGUCGCAAGUGGGGGAUCUUCGGUCCUCACGCCAUCAGAUGAGCCUAGGACGGAUUCGCUAGUUGGAGGGGUAAAGGCAUACCAAGGCGACGAUCCGUAACUGGUCUGAGAGGAUGGUCAGUCACACGGUAAGAGAGACACGGUACAGACUCCGGCGGGGAGAAGCAGUGGGGAAUAUUGGACGAGGGACGAGAGCCUGAUCCAGCAAUGCCGCGGGUGGGAAGAAGGACUUCGGAUGGGAAAGCGCUGUAAGUUGGGGGGAAGUGAAGUAAGUUUAUCCCUGGCUGUUUUGACGUUACCAACAGAAUAAGCACCGGCUAACUUCGUG
rnacentral:rRNA from 1 species